CUGUUGUGGACAUUUGAUUUAAGUGGAAUAACACAAGGUCUUUUGUGCCUGGCUUCUUUCACUUAUAGCAUGAUGUUUUUCAGUGAAAAAGUGGGAAGAUGAAGUGUUUGGAGGGCUUUUAAAUGGAGUAAAAUGGAAACAAAGACAAGUUAUCUCAACACCAAAAAGAGUAGGGGAUAGAAGGAUAUGUCAAGGUUUGAAAACCAUCCUUCAGAAAUGCAGGAAAGUUAAAGCUGGAAGCUGUGCUAAUGGUCUAUCAAGAUAUCCUGAGUUUCCAGUAGAGAUGUUUCAGCCAUAACACGGGCCUGGUAGACAAAGCCUGAAGACAAAUACCACUAUGAAUGGUUACAUCUAGGACUUCUGAGAUUAGCCCCAGAUUCAACUCAUUUUUUUUUUGCAUUUGCUCAGCAAUAUGACAUGUUUACACUGAUUAGCUAAAAAGUUAUGUGAAGAAUGGGCAACAAUAUCUCUAAGGCAAGAUAUGCUCAGAUCCAAUAUAGUUCAUAUAGACCUUGUCAGAGUAAAUGACCAUGUGCCUUUCAGAACACUAAAGAAUAAAGUCCUUCCACAUUAGAAUGACAAAUAUGUUUUUAUAAUCAAACUGUUUUAUUCCCAACUUUAUUACUUCCAACUGAGUACAAUAGAGGCUGUUCUACCAUUCUCCAAUUUUCCCUGAGUAACAUAAAACCGAUCAGUGUGCACAAUUAAAAGACUACAUUUCUCAACCUUCUUUUGGCAUCAUGUGACUAAAUUUUUGUCAAAGAGAGAAAGGCAGAAGCAUUGCCUAUGCGCUCCAGAAGACUUUGUGAAAGAUAGUGGGGGAUUUCUGAUUUCUUCUUUUCCUGAUAUUCCAAUAGGCAUGUGUUAGACCUUUUGACAUUGUCCUGUAGUUCUUGGAUGUUCUGUGCUUUGUUUUUUUAUUUUAUUUUAUUUUUUUUAUUUUUAUUCUCUUUUCUGUUUGCCUCUCAUUUUGGGAAG
rnacentral:lncRNA from 1 species